UUAUCUCAAAUUUAUAUGGAGUUGGAACGUUUGCCUACGUUUGCCGGUAGGGGCGCUGUUCCAACUCCAUACACAAUUGAGUUA
rfam:Bombyx mori DNA, contig: Bm_scaf12_contig9952, strain: p50T/Dazao, build 2, whole genome shotgun sequence.